rnacentral:rRNA from 2 species
GACGAACCGUCCGAACGUUAUUCGGAAUCACUGGGCUUACAGAGUUCGUAGGCGGUCCGGCAAGUUGGGUGUGAAAUCCCUUGGCUCAACCAAGGAACUGCGCUUGAUACUGCCGGACUCGAGGGAGAUAGAGGAAAGCGGAACUGAUGGUGGAGCGGUGAAAUGCGUUGAUAUUAUCAGGAACACCGGUGGCGAAGGCGGCUUUCUGGGUCUCUUCUGACGCUGAGGAACGAAAGCUAGGGGAGCGAACGGG